AGUGAACGCUGGCGGCGUGCUUAACACAUGCAAGUCGAACGAGAACGGGUUAUAGCUUGCUAUAAUUGUCAGCUAAGUGGCGCACGGGUGAGUAAUGUAUAGGUAAUAUGCCUCUUACUAAGGGAUAACAAAUGGAAACGUUUGCUAAUACCUUAUACUCCUUAUUAACAGAAGUUAAUAAGGGAAAGAUUUAUUGGUAAGAGAUAGCCUGUAUUGUAUCAGUUAGUUGGUGGGGUAAUGGCUUACCAAGACUAUGACACAUAACUGGUUUGAGAGGAUGAUCAGUCACACUGGAACUGAGACACGGUCCAGACUCCUACGGGAGGCAGCAGUGGGGAAUAUUGCACAAUGGACAAAAGUCUGAUGCAGCAACGCCGCGUGGAGGAUGACACAUUUCGGUGCGUAAACUCCUUUUAUAUGAGAAGAUAAUGACGGUAUUAUAUGAAUAAGCACCGGCUAACUCCGUGCCAGCAGCCGCCGUAA
rnacentral:rRNA from 1 species